UUCUUAUCCAGAGAGACGGAGGGACUGCCCCUGCGAAGUCUCGGCAACCAGUGAUUCUUAACCGCCCGGUGCCAAAUUCAGAGCACACCUGUGCGAAGAUGAGAA
rnacentral:ncRNA from 2 species